rnacentral:tRNA from 1 species
GGGGGCGUAGCUCAGCUGGUUAGAGCAGUCCGCUCAUAACGGAUUGGUCGGGAGUUCAAGUCUCUCCGCCCCUACCA